rnacentral:tRNA from 1 species
GUGCUCGUAGUUCCAACUGGAAGAACGCUCCCGUGGCACGGGAGAGGCUGCGUGUUCGAAUCACGCCGAGUACA